AUUUCCUCGAGCGUUUGAUUUGCAACCCGGCUGAUCUGAUGACCUGAAUGCCGCUGACAUCCCUAGAGGGUGAAGCUCAUUCUUUUGCUGCCCAAAUUUGAACUUUGGUGUAGAGGCCUCGACUUGAGAGGACUCGAUGCCGGUUGGAACAUUUGAUGAUGAUGAUUUCAUUCUCUAAACCUUUUGUCAUUGGGCUUCUGCUUUUGAGUUAAGGACUUUCUUGAGAAUCUUCCCCUUCUUUUGAAGGGGCAAGCUUAUGUCGCCAUGAUUUCUUUUAGGAGUUCUCCCCUUUAUUUUGAUGAGAGGCUUGAUCCCGCCUUAAACUCCUUCCCUUUAUUGGAAUCGGAAAAAUGACCCAGACCUUUUUUAUGUUGUUG
rnacentral:lncRNA from 1 species